rnacentral:lncRNA from 1 species
CUUUGUUAAUUUAAGUAAGUUGGUUUCCCAAGGUAACAAGAAUGAUGAGUGAGAAACCUGGACUCAAGUCUUCUGACUUCAAAUUCAGUGUUUGUUUAAACUAUUACGGAAUCUUUUGGAUGGCCUAUUAUACUAAUGAAGUCUUCAUUAUUUAGCAAAUGAGAGCAUUCCAACUUCCUUAUUUGAUUUCUUACUUCUCUGCAUACUGAAGGGAAGCCUGCAUAUAGGCAGAUCCCCACCUACUUACUCACAGUAAGUACCAAAUCAGUAUUCCAUAAAGUCAUGCUAUUCCCACCAGCUUUUUAUCCUAAUUAACUGAACACUCCAUGUAUAUUUAUUAUGAUCAAAAAAUAAAAGAUCAAUUUGAGAAAAAUUGUAAACAUAAAAGGAUGGAACCCAAACAAAAUCAAUUUUUUUUUUUCUGAAGGAAAUAAAAGUAAUGCAGGGGAAAAAAGAAAAUGUCUUUUUAAAAGAUGCACUAGUGAUAUCCUUAGAAGCUUAAGUGAAUAUUGUAUCAUACAAGUGAGUUUGUUAUGACAACAGAGACAUCAAGGAAAUUCUUAGAAAUUAAAAAUAUAGUUUUUAAGACCAAAACACUCAGAAUGACAGAAUAGUCAUACUGGAGACCACAUUCAUAAUAUGAAGAAAAAGUAAAAGGAAUCUUCAAGAGAGUAGAAUAUUAAGACAUGCAGAAAAUAUGAGAAGAAAAAUUUGAAGUCAUAGAGAAAGAAAAAAGAAAAAAAAUAGAGAAAAUGUACCUUUCUAAAAAGCUUUGGUCUUUAGAUCAAAAAGGCCCACCUAGGCUGGGUGCAGUGGCUCACUCCUAUAAUCUCGAUACUUUGGAAGGCCAAGGUGGGAGGAUCACUUGAGCACAGGACUUCAAGACUCAGUAUGUGCAACACACUGAGAACUUAUCUCUACCAAAAAAAAGUAAAUAAAUAAAUAAAAGUAGCCUGGUAUGGUGGCUCAUGCCUGUAGUCCUAGCUACUUGGGAGGCUGAAGCAGGAGGAUUGCUUUAGCCCAAGCAGUCAAGGCUGCAGUGAGCCAUGGUCACACAACUGCACUACAGCCUGAGUUACAGAGUGAGAUCUUGUCUCAAAAAAACCAAAACAAAACAAAAACCAACCAACCAAACAAACAAAAAAACAAGGCCCACCUAAAACUGAGUAGCAAUAAUUCUUAAAAAUACACCUAAUAUAUUCUUGUCAAUUUGUGAAAUUUAUGAACUCUAGAAAAAAAAGAAAAAUCCUAAACUUUUUAAGAGAGACAUCAGAUUUACUUGUAAAGAAAUAAGAAAAAGACUUCUCAUCUGCAACAGAGGAUAUCUACUAAAACUAAAGAAAAGGGAUUUUAAAACUCUCAUUCUGCAUGCAGCAAAAUUAUUAUCCAACAAUGCGAGCAAAAUGAAGACUUCCAAUCGUGCACAAAUUCAGGAAAUAUUUUACAUCUUCACACUCUGAAAAAAGUACCUAAUGAUUUCCUCCAGCAAAAUAACAAAAGAUAAGAAAUAAUGAGGAAAGACAACAACACAAAAACUAAAAAUAAAUGUCCCAAGUAGACCUAAAUUCCUCUAAUUUGUGUGGUGCCCGUAUGUAUGGUUAUAAGCAUGUCAGAGAAGAGAAGAUGAAGGUUACAUCAUUGUAAGAUUGACAGUUUGCAAGUAGCAGAUGCUUACAGGACAGGAGGCCAUGAGAUUUAAAGAUGCUGGUAAGGCAGUGUUUGAUGAUACAUCACCAGGUAGAAGAAAGAACUAAGUAUGGAAGGAAAUAAAAGCCCCAUUGGGGAAUCAAUGGAAAGGAGAACAGAGACGAAUCAAGGUAAGAGAACAUGAUGAUGCUGGUGAUGUUGAGGUUGUAUAGCAAGAGUAGGAGAAUGAGAGAGACUGAGACACUGUUGUUAGCUGAGAAGGAGACAAUGGAAGUUUGUGCCCACAAACUCUACUUGGAGG